rnacentral:rRNA from 1 species
UACGGGGGGGGCAAGCGUUGUUCGGAAUUACUGGGCGUAAAGGGCUCGUAGGCGGCCAACUAAGUCGUACGUGAAAUCCCUCGGCUUAACCGGGGAACUGCGUCUGAUACUGGAUGGCUUGAGAUUGGGAGAGGGAUGCGGAAUUCCAGGUGUAGCGGUGAAAUGCGUAGAUAUCUGGAGGAACACCGGUGGCGAAGGCGGCAUCCUGGACCAACACUGACGCUGAGGAGCGAAAGCCAGGGGAGCAAACGGG